rnacentral:rRNA from 1 species
CGGCCGCGUCGACGCCGCAAGGCGUCUGUGAGGUGCUGCAUGGUUGUCGUCAGCUCGUGCCGUGAGGUGUCGGCUUAAGUGCCAUAACGAGCGCAACCCUCGUGGUCAGUUACUAACAGGUUAAGCUGAGGACUCUGGCCAGACUGCCAUCGUAAGAUGUGAGGAAGGUGGGGAUGACGUCAAAUCAGCACGGCCCUUACGUCCGGGGCUACACACGUGUUACAAUGGGAGGUACAGAAGGCUGCUACCCGGCGACGGGAUGCCAAUCCCCAAAACCUCUCUCAGUUCGGACUGGAGUCUGCAACCCGACUCCACGAAGCUGGAUUCGCUAGUAAUCGCGCAUCAGCCACGGCGCGGUGAAUACGUUCCCGGGCCUUGUACACACCGCCCGUCGACGCGGCCG